CAGCUCACCCUCAUAUCACAACCACCAGUCACCACCACCUACUGCCAUCGCCACCACCCACCCCACCGACCAUCAUCAUCUUCGCACAAACACCACCUGUUGUCAUCGCCACCACCUACCCUGUCACCACCGUUGCUAAAACCCAACAUCACCACCACUACCAGCCCUCCUUCAACCACAUAGCAGUUGAUCUGUUGGAGAUCAAACAGAUCAGACCCGACGACACCACCACUACAGAGACCAAACAGAUCGGACCCAAACUUACUCUGUUACCGCCGUCGUAAAUUACCAAAGAAGACAACGAGUUUGAAUAAUUCUUAGCUAAAUUAAGCAAAACUAAAGCAAAAAUUGACCAGCAAAUCUUCAAUUCGAGCUCGUGAAGGUUCAGAUCAUUUUUCUCCCAACCGAAAAGCCAAUCAUGGUGGAGACUUGCGGUACAUUAAUUGCUACUCUCCCAUUUUAGACAGUCGGAGAAGACGUAAGAUGACGGAGGAGGGAGGCGUUGGAAGAGGAGCUCAUCGCCGAGCAUUAUGUACAUUAUUAUUAUUGAGAAAAUGAUUUUUAUAUUUUAUUUUUAAAAGCUCUUUUAAGUUAUUUACAGACUUAGUUGAAAUGACAAACUUACCCUCAUGUGCAGGGCACAUGACUACAUUUAACCAAUAAAAUUAACUGAGUUAAGGUCAAAGGACAUAACGUGCAACAUUUAGAAACAUUAAGUACAAAACUCAUCAAUUUUAAAGGUAAAGGACACCGGCUGCAAUUAGGUAUAAAGAUAAAGGACAAAACUUGCAAUUCACUCUUAAGAAGAUGUUUAUGAUUCAUGGAAUGUACUUUAUGCAUAGGGAGUCUUUAAAAAAAAAUUC